rnacentral:rRNA from 1 species
UACGGGGGGGGCAAGCGUUGUUCGGAAUUACUGGGCGUAAAGGGCUCGUAGGUGGCCAACUAAGUCAGACGUGAAAUCCCUCGGCUUAACCGGGGAACUGCGUCUGAUACUGGAUGGCUUGAGUUCGGGAGAGGGAUGCGGAAUUCCAGGUGUAGCGGUGAAAUGCGUAGAUAUCUGGAGGAACACCGGUGGCGAAGGCGGCAUCCUGGACCGGCAUUGACGCUGAACAGCGAAAGCCAGGGGAGCAAACGGG